CCACUACAAAAGCGGCCAACCCCAUUUUAAAUUCGCUACUCAAACAUAUUGGAAGUAUACAGAUGUGGAACUAGUACUGCUUACUUCAAGAUUGUAGCAAUUCUAGCACAAAACUAGUUUCCUGCACCAGCGGGUACAUCAAUUACAAGAAUACAUGAACAGUCGUGCGGAUACGACUAUGUUGAAUCAGGAAACUCGGUAAGAGCCGUCAAUUUGCCUUCUCCAAAUUGUGAACGCACAUCUGCGCCGUAGUUCAACAAC